UGGUUUCUGGCCUCACGAGAAGGCCCGCAAAAAUCCCCUUUUCCCUGGCGCCCGCCCCCGGCUCCAUCUGCCAAAGUCUAACAAGAGCCCAAAGUCCCCUCUCACAAGACUUCAGAUGAGAUCCGGGAUCCCGGCCUCAGACAGAGCUAGGAAGGUGGAGGCUCAGGCAAUGGGCAGCCCAGAUCUAGCCCUAUAAAUGCUCAGGCAAUGGGCAGCCAGAUCUAGCCCUAUAAAACCCCUGCCUACGAGGCGCACUGCAUUUCAGCACGCGAAGAGUCAUAGGGAGAGAACUGUCACUUGUAAAACAUUACUUGUUUUCUGGGCCCACUUUCUUCUGAGAGUGUGCCGGCCUUGCUUUUCAGGCCUUGCUGUUUCUCAUAUAUUCCCUGAAGAAUAGGGUCUGAUUUCAUUUGAGAGACCAUUUGUUUUUCACAGCUAUUCUCAAGUUUAUAUUAUAAUCCCUAAAGGGUCUGAUUUCAUGACACAGAGCAGUCUUAGCUUCAGAGCUAUUUCUUCAGUGUAUAUUGUAGUCCCGACAGAAUAGGGUCUACUUUCAGAGUAUGGGCUUUGCACUUCAGGGCUGUUUGCUCAGCUCAUUAUAUCAACAUACUACCCACAGAUUAGGGUCUGGUUCAAGAGUGCGGCAUUUGCCUUUCUGGGCUGUUUAUCCAGUCCAUAUUAUUGAUAUAAUACCCACAGAAGAGGGUCUAGAUUAGGAGUACAGAGUUUGUUUUUCAGAGCUAUUUUCCAAGUCCCUAUCAUCAGUAUGCCCACAGAACAGGGCCUGGUUUAAGAACACAGACCCGGCGGGGGAUUUAUACAGGUAAAGCGAUGACUGUCCUGAAUCAGUGCCUGGAUGCAGUAAUGUACUGGAUGAAGGUGAACACGUUGAAACUCUAUCCAGACAAGACAGAAGUACUAUUAGUUGGUGGUUCCUCUGCCCAGGACUUAAAUGACUUGAAAACAUCAUGCAAGUUCACUUCCUUUCAAGAUGAAGUAGUCAUCAACUCUUAGAAAACAUGACCUUAUCCAAUGUUGUGCAUUAUUUUGGUUUGUCUACAUAGCCCAGAAAUUGACAUUCUGGGGGUUUUCUGGAAUACCAUUAUUGUCCAGAACAGGUACAUGACAUCUAUUUUGUGGAUGUUCUGUGGCUUAUUAUAUCACUCUUAGACAGGAAAUGUAGGUCUAUUUGUAUAUCAGAGGCACUGAUUUCUCUUUCCAGUGUUGUAAAAUGAAACCACAAGAAAGGCUAAAUGAGGACUUCAUUUAAAGUAGGACUUCACACUUGCUUUAAUGGGACACCAAAGACCAAAAAAAGUGCAAUACUUUGGUAGUCCCAUUAAAGCAAGUGUGAAGUCCUACUGCUUCCCCACAUCUCCAAGAUGGCAAGGGAACCCUUUCUUUGCAUACACUGUGAUCCUGAUGAAACCCCCUUAUAAAUUACUACUUGCCCUGUAAAGGAAGCUGCUACUGGUGAUAAUAGAUUGGAGGAGUGUUUUUUUCAGGUGAAGGGAGGGAUUAAACCACUCUCCCUUCUCAUGCCACACCCUUGACCAGAAUCAGCACCACAUGGGUUGUACUUUUUUUGUUUGUUUUUUUAAAGAACAACUGAAAGUACAGGGAUACUUUUAGCAGUAGAUAGACUGUACUGAACAUGUGAGAACAGCACAUACUUUAACUCAACAAUUCAUUACUAGCAACUUGCUAGAAGAGCCCAGCAAAAGAGCCCAGCAAAAAGACAUAGACUGUUAAGAAUACCAAGUGCAGCUUAUCUGAGGACUAUCUAUGGUUACUGAUCCAUCUGAGCCUAUGACUGUUCAGGCCCUUCAGUUUAUACAGACACAACUAUGCAUACAGAUGUGUGCUAUAGAAGUAAAACAGUUUUAUUAGUUUUCUUAUAUAAUUUGUCUCAUACUGAGGUCUUUCGGACAUGCCUCUUAAAGAGGCAAUGCACAACAGUUUGAUUGUAAGAAAGAGGGCAGAAAAAGUUCAGGCUGAGUUGUCAUGAGAACAGCUAUCUUGUCUACCACUGAAUUACACAUAAGAUGGUAUAAGACCGCUCCAUACUUCAAUCAAGUCCAAAAUCUCACAAAUCUAUCUAUUAGCAAAUAUAAGCUUUUUCUCUUAAUUUUGCAA